UACGUAGGGUGCAGGCGUUAAUCGGAAUUACUGGGCGUAAAGGGCGCGUAGGCGGCCUGCUAAGUCGGAUGUGAAAUCCCUCGGCUCAACCGAGGAACUGCAUCCGAUACUGGCGGGCUUGAAUCCGGGAGAGGGAUGUGGAAUUCCAGGUGUAGCGGUGAAAUGCGUAGAUAUCUGGAGGAACACCGGUGGCGAAGGCGGCAUCCUGGACCGGUAUUGACGCUGAGGCGCGAAAGCUAGGGGAGCAAACGGG
rnacentral:rRNA from 1 species